AGUGAACGCUGGCGGUAGGCCUAACACAUGCAAGUCGAACGGCAGCACAGUAAGAGCUUGCUCUUACGGGUUGCGAGUGGCGGACGGGUGAGGAAUACAUCGGAAUCUACUUUUUCGUGGGGGAUAACGUAGGUAAACUUACGCUAAUACCGCAUACGACCUACGGGUGAAAGCAGGGGAUCUUCUGACCUUGCGCGAUUGAAUGAGCCGAUGUCGGAUUAGCUAGUUGGCGGGGUAAAGGCCCACCAAGGCGACGAUCCGUAGCUGGUCUGAGAGGAUGAUCAGCCACACUGGAACUGAGACACGGUCCAGACUCCUACGGGAGGCAGCAGUGGGGAAUAUUGGACAAUGGGCGCAAGCCUGAUCCAGCCAUACCGCGUGGGUGAAGAAGGCCUUCGGGUUGUAAAGCCCUUUUGUUGGGAAAGAAAAGCAGCAGGUUAAUACCCCGCUGUUCUGACGGUACCCAAAGAAUAAGCACCGGCUAACUUCGUG
rnacentral:rRNA from 1 species